rnacentral:tRNA from 1 species
GCGGGUGUAGCUCAGUCGGUAGAGCGACAGCUUCCCAAGCUGUAGGUCGCGAGUUCGAGACUCGUCGCCCGCUCCA